UACGUAGGGGGCAAGCGUUGUCCGGAAUCAUUGGGCGUAAAGCGCGUGUAGGCGGCUUGGUAAGUCCGCUCUGAAAGCCCCGGGGCUCAACCCCGGGAGGCGGGUGGAUACUGUCAGCUCGAGUCCGGAAGAGGCGAGUGGAAUUCCUGGUGUAGCGGUGAAAUGCGCAGAUAUCAGGAGGAACACCAAUGGCGAAGGCAGCUCGCUGGGACGUGACUGACGCUGAGACGCGAAAGCGUGGGGAGCAAACAGG
rnacentral:rRNA from 1 species